GCGGCGUGCUUACACAUGCAAGUCGAACGAGGUCCAGCCGGUAGCAAUACCGGCGAAGACCUAGUGGCGAACGGGUGAGUAACACGUGAGCAACCUGCCCCGAAGACCGGGAUAACAGCGGGAAACCGCUGCUAAUACCGGAUGCCCCCAUCGGUUCACAUGGCCCGAUGAGGAAAUGGAUUCCGCUUCGGGAGGGGCUCGCGGCCUAUCAGCUUGUUGGUGGGGUAACGGCCCACCAAGGCGACGACGGGUAGCUGGUCUGAGAGGACGAUCAGCCACACUGGGACUGAGACACGGCCCAGACUCCUACGGGAGGCAGCAGUGGGGAAUAUUGCGCAAUGGGCGAAAGCCUGACGCAGCAACGCCGCGUGAGGGAUGAAGGCCUUCGGGUUGUAAACCUCUUUCGAGCAGGGACGAUAAUGACGGUACCUGCAGAAGGAGCUCCGGCCAACUACGUGCCAGCAGCCGCGGUAAUACGUAGGGAGCAAGCGUUGUCCGGAUUCAUUGGGCGUAAAGCGCUCGUAGGCGGCUUGAUAAGUCGGAUGUGAAAC
rnacentral:rRNA from 1 species